GGGUGAUUAGCUCAGUUGGUAGAGCGCUUCGUUUACACCGAAGAUGUCGGCGGUUCGAAACCGUCAUCACCCACCA
rnacentral:tRNA from 1 species